UACGGAGGGGGCUAGCGUUGCUCGGAAUUACUGGGCGUAAAGGGCGCGUAGGCGGACAGUUUAGUCAGAGGUGAAAGCCCAGGGCUCAACCUUGGAAUUGCCUUUGAUACUGGCUGCCUUGAGUUCGGGAGAGGUGAGUGGAAUGCCGAGUGUAGAGGUGAAAUUCGUAGAUAUUCGGCGGAACACCAGUGGCGAAGGCGACUCACUGGCCCGAUACUGACGCUGAGGCGCGAAAGCGUGGGGAGCAAACAGG
rnacentral:rRNA from 1 species